rnacentral:lncRNA from 1 species
CGGGGGUGGGGGGGAGAAAUAGAGUCACUCAGAGGCCUGAGCAAGUGCCCAGCCACAGCUACGGGAGACUGCCAAGGGUAAAAGGGCUGUGGUGGGUUUGCUGCAGGGUUGAUGGCCACCUGGCUCUGCACAGCUCAUUCUACAGGGACGCUACGAGCCAGGUUGUGGGAGCUGCAGUCAACCCAAUGUAGCUAAAAGUAAGCUUAUGACAUUAUUUUCCUACAGACCAGACCUCACUUACUCCAGGCUGGCCUCCAACUCAAUGUGUAGCUGAGGAUAACCCUGAGUUCCUGAUCCUCUUGAUGCUACCUCCCAAGGGCUUGAAUUACAGGCAGGCCCCAGUAGGCCUGAUUUACAUGGAACUAGGGGCUUUCCCAAUGCUAGAUGAGAGCUCUGCCAACCAAGCCAUAGCCUCAGGCCGGAAAGCAUUCCUGAGAAGGGCAGAAAGAGGCUGGGAGUGGAUCAGCCACAGCUUAGAGCAAGAACAGACAAGUGACAUGAGGAGCUCAGGGACAACACAGCCAGACUUCUCAGAAAUGCCUGUGAGGAGAGGACUCGUUUUCCAGUCGUGUCCAAAGAUGGGGAUUGGACCACACAGCGUGGCUGGGGGGCAACGUUCCCAAGAAAAACCCUCAGCACUCUGUGCCUCCCACCCCCACCCAGACAUUGGUCAACACGCCGAGGUCCUGAUGCCAAGAAGCCCUGGGAAGGGGCCCCUCCUGUCUUCAACCUCUGCUAGGUGAGAAGGGGGAAGGGAGGGGUACCUGUUUCAGGCCCAGCUGCCCCCUGAAUUCCAGCUUCCCCUUUAGUCUUUAAUUCCAGGGCUCCGGGGCUUUAAGACUGUAGUUAGGGUCUUUCCAAAGAUGCCCAGAACCUUGGGGGAGGUUGGACUGUUUUUACUGGCUGCUUGCCAAAUGCCACAUAGACCAUUGUUCCUAAGGUUCCUCUGCCCUUGUCUCCCAGGAUGCUGCUCCCAUCCCCAGUGCCGUAUGGAGUAGGCCACCUGGCUCUGCAAGCCUAGCUGGAGUGAGAGAAUAAAUAGCAUGGGUUUAGUUACUGACUAGGGUUC